rnacentral:lncRNA from 1 species
CAUCGCCGCCACGAGGACGGCACCGCACCGUCCGACCGCCCGGUAGACGCAGUCCUCGCGCGUGAUCGCGCGCAGCCCGAGCGGGGAUUGCCGCGUCAGACUGUCUUUGCGGCGGCGAUGUGGUGGCGACGCCGUCACUGCCACGGCAGCGGCAAUGUGACGAAAGAGGUGCCCGGCGGCCGGCGCCCGACGGUAGGCAGACACAGCGCUGGCAAGGGCGCCGUCGGUGCGGAGCGAGACCGUGUCGAGAGCGUCGAGAAAGGUAUCGAGGUGCGCCGCGGCAAAGGUGGCCGUGGGCUUGCCGCCGCCGGGCAGGGCGCGCUUCGACAGGCCAAAGCCCGCCCCGCGCACGCGGCGCGCCAUGGUCCUCACCAUCUUGUCGUGCGCCUUUGUGUUCCACCCAAACACGUGGCGUAUGACGUCAUAGGCCGAGAUCUCGGCGCCGUCCUUGGACACGCGCACCGGCCGGAACGCCCCGUCGGCCGCUCGGCCUCGCGUCUGCUGUGUCGUGGGUUUGGCUGUAGGGCGCUGGCCGUCCAUUCGAGGUGGUGUGAAGGAUAGGGUUUGAUGGAAGGGCGAGUGGGCGAGGAUCACUCUCUGCGAGUUCCUGACGUGCACAGUGGUGGCCGUGUGUCUUUUCGGUUGUGUCGCGCUGCGCGUCGAUGCGAGCGGGUUUUGUGCCGUGCGAUCGCGAAUGACCCGAGGCGACCACAGGAAAAAAGUGGCACCGUCGACAAAAGGACCCACCAACCCCGCGUGCGCCUUUUUUCGGCCUCUCUUUUUUUUCCUUGUUGGUAUUUCCCCCUCCCCGGCGUUCCCAAUUCCCCCUUUACUUUUUUUGAUCAAAUUUUUUUGUCGAUCACCCAGCGCGACCUGCCCGCUGCCGCGUGCCGUCUUUCCCUUUGAUGUCGUUGCCGUCGUCGUGUCCUUUUUUUUCUUUCGGUGCGCGUGCGCGCGCGACAAAACUGCCUGCCUCUUGAUCGCCGACGCCGGUUGCAGGCUCUUGCGCGCGCCUCCUUUCGCCCGUCGCUGCCUCUCGACGCCCACCCGGCAGUGCAUCCUCAGCGCCCGCCGCCGCCACCACCCGACCUCUGCUCGAUGUUGUCGUUGGCGCGCGUCGACAGGGGUCCAAAGGUCGAGCACACCCACGCGUUGACGGCCUGCGCGCGCGCCGUGCGCAUCGGACGCUCGACGUCGCAAAAGAGCACGAUCCGCGGCCGGUCGCACAGGUUGCGCACCUCGUGCACGUACGUGUCGUCAAAGAGCAUGUGAUCGCCCUCGGCCCAGCGGCGGGCCUGGCCGUCGACGACGAGCCGGCAGCGGGCGUCGAUGGGGUCUCGCUCUGCGUCGGCCUCUGCUGGCACCGACAGGCCCAGGUGGUAGCGCAGGGCGCCACGGAACGGACCGCGGUGCGGGAUCACGACGGCGCCCGGACCCAGUAUGGAAAAGGUGGCCAGGCGCACCUCGGGCAGUGCGUCGAGCAGCGCGCACGUGAUCGGACAGACGGCGCGCGCUUGCGGCGACACGUCACCAUACCAACGGAUGGCAAAGCGCUUCCACCGCCGACCGGCGGGCGCAAUGCGCCGAAAGAGGGGCUCGUCGUCGACCGGCUCGGCGAGAGCCAUGGCGCGCGCGGCUUCCGCCGCAAUGUCGCGCCACGCGGCGCGCAGGGUCCUCCCGCCCGGAAACACCCGGCGCACCGAGAGCCACGGCGUCGGCGCGUGCCGUGCGUUGGCGGCCGCCCACACGUUGUAGGGCGCCACGACCCACGAACCCAGGCGGUAGUAUUCGACGGGGCGGCAUCGCACGCGCCUCCCGCGGCGCCGAUCCACCUCGGCCAGGACGACGAGCACCGCCACGAGCGCCAGGGCCAACGCCGCCAUGGCGGCCGCCACCAUGCCGAGGCCCCUCUUCGCGGCGCACGCCGUCUCUGUCGUGCGCAUCUCUCUCUUGCCUUUUAGAGAGAGAGCCCGGAGCCGACCCGCCGCCAGGUCUCUCUCUAAAAGGACCGUCGGUGCCCGCGCCUCUGGCGGGUCGCGCGCAAACUCGAAAGAAAAACACAUCAACGACACACACUACAAAGCACCCAACAAAAAAAAGAGACCGGCACAGACAAGAGGCAAAAGGCGCACGCCCCUUUCAUGCCCUUUUUUCUUUCAAUUCCUUCCCAUUUCUUUUUCUUAUGGCGUGCGUCGUCGUGGUUGCCAUGGCGCGUAAAAACAACCCCAACACGACACAAG